rnacentral:misc_RNA from 1 species
AAUUAUUGGCUAUAGAGUUAUUGUGAGAAAUGCAAUACAUUCUUUCAAGGUCGACACUUUAAGUGUCACGUAUUCGGUUGCUCUCAAUCAUCUUUUACCCGAAGCAAAUUACAGUGUAUCAGUUUUCGGCUUUGGUAAUGGAACAAAAGGAAUUUCAAGCAAAUGGAUACAUUUUAAAAUAAAUGAUCGUGAGGGGCCAUCUGGAGUUAGUAAUAAAGGAGGAACUAACACAGACGGAAGGAACUUUACUUUAACAAUCAUCGUUGUUUUGAUUGUCGGAGUUUUGUUUUAGGCGACAACUUUUGAGUAGCCACUGUGUCGGAUGUUUUACGAAUAGUCAAUUUUUACGUCACUAAUAAAAUUUAUGGUAAAAUAAUUUUACAAGUCGUUAUAUCUCAUUGUUUUCCCAUGCUCCAAAAAAGCCUAAAUUUCACAAAAAGAAAUCAGCUUCGCCACCAAAAAUGUUGUCAGUGGUUUUUUAAUUUACCGAAAUAUAUAUAGUUGUGCCAAAACAAGCAUUUGUUGUAAAUCGAUAUAAUAUAAAAAUAGCGCCAUAGUGGAAAAACAUGAAAACAUGAAUUUCAACUAAAUCCAAUACCUGAACUAUAUCCAUUGGAAUAUAUAGAUAUUGGCAGAAAUCAUCACAAAUAUUGCAUUCUCAACGUGACACUACAUUAUUUUACCGCAAGCAACUGGCAGAAUCUCAAAUAAACUCUCCUGAUUUAUGUUUCUUGUUGUAUGAGUGUAGACAAAAUAUGCCUUUUUGGAGAAGCUAUGUAGCUGUAAAUACUAUUUUAAAAUCGAAGGUGCCUUUUUUGUUUCCUACGUUAGCA